GGGGGGGGUUUCCCCGCGGGGAGAUGGCGCUGCGCUGCCAGUGACAAACGCGCAGGCUGCUCCGCGGUGAGACCUGCGGGCUGCCGAGUUCCAGCGCCCGAGGGAAGAAUAGUUGCUCUGUAGCUGCUGUGCUGCAGGCGGGAGGAUGACAGCGGCUUGUGAGAGCACGUCCAGGGACGGAGCUUGCGGCUGCGUAGCGCCCGGGUAGAGCCCAGUGCUGGCCGCAGGGCCGCACUGCCCCGACGGUGCAGCCUUGCAGCCCGGGGCCGGUCUGCGUUUGCUCAUGGCAGAGCUGGAGCUGUAGGUCACGGAGGUGGGUGCUGAGAAGCUGAUGUGAGAGCCACUUGCUUCCCAGGUGUCCAGCUAGCUGAAUGCCAGCUGGUUGAGGCACGCCAGGCACGCUUCUGGGUCGUAGAAUGACUGAAUCACAGGAUGGUCUGGUUUGAAAAAGACCUCACGGAUUACACGGUUCCGACCCCCUGCUGUGUGCAGGAUUGCCAACCAGCAGACCAGGCUGCCCAGAGCCACAUCCAACCUGGCAUGGGUCAUACCUUUGGUUUAGUUUCAUCUGAAGGGAUUCGGCUUGUGCAUGCCAAGGCCUCUGGAUAAACUCCUUUGCUGUGAGGGUGGGUGGCCAAAUGCUGAAGGGGCUCCCAGCAAAGUGGAUGGUGCCCCAUGGGUGCUCAGGAGGCCUCUGGGCAAUGCCCUCCUCAACGUGCUCCAACUCCUCCUGGCCUUGACGUGGUUGGGCAGUUGGGCUCAGCCUUUGUAGAUCCCUUCCGAGUGAACUACGCUGAUAGCCCGGCUCAAGCAAGGGAAUAAUAUGUAAGAUGGGUUAUGAUUUCCUUGUUUUUCUGCCUCAGUUGCUCACAGCCAUCGUGAAGAUUUGCCACACUUCUUGCUCAAGCAUGGAGUACAGUCUGCUGAGAGCCACGCUGAACUCCUGGUGGAUUUGCACAGGCACGUGUACCAAAAACAAAAGUGCAAAACCAAGGGAAAGUCAACAGCGGAAGACUUCUUUUCCCUUCCAUCCUCCCAAGCCUGGGAGGAUUUUGUUCAGCUCUUUGGUAGAGCUAACUGGAAGGCCACUACUUCCCUUGGUUGUCUUUUCUGUACGCCAAGAGCCCCGGUUCACCUGGUUCAGAUAUCAGAGCAGGCGUUAACCUGUCUGUGUAGCUUUUCACUGCAGUGCUACCUUUAUCCUUGAAAAAAAUCCGAGUAGAAGCUACAAGGCUGAAGUGAACAUUCCAGAAGGUGCCAGCUAAGAGUCACCUACAGCUACUAACAGAGCUAUCCUACUCUUCUCUCAACCUGUCAGAACAGGAGCCUGGGAGGUCAUAAAGUCACAGGACGGCCCCUAAGGACCACUGAGUCCCAGGAGUUCCAUAGAUGCUGAGCUGCUUUUGGAGUUCAGCUGAUUUUACUGCCUUUUCUCUGGUAGUUGAAGAAGGAGACUGAUAUGCGUAUAAAAACCAGAGGAGAUGGUACAGAGCCCAGAGCGUGGCCUAUGGCAUGCUACUGUCAGCAAGGAAGACUGUUAGGAGCCAGCCUGUGGUACAACAAAAACAACAAGAACAAUGCAAAACUCCAAAGGGAGUCCUUGAGUCCUUGUGGAUGCAUCAAGACUAACCAGAGUCAGAAGCAUUACUUGUUGCACUGUGAUGGUGACCUACUGUGUUGUACCUCCUCUGACUGGUGAUGCACUGGAACAGGUUGCCCAAGGAGGCUGUGGAUGCCCCAUCCCUGCAGGCAUUCAAGGCCAGGCUGGAUGUGGCUCUGGGCAGCCUGGUCUGCUGGUUGGCGACCCUGCACAUAGCAGGGGGUUGGAACUGGAUGGGCAUUGUGGUCCUUUUCAACCCAGGCCAUUCUGUGAUUCUAUCAUUCUGUGAGUCAGCUGGGGGUUGUGCAGGCUCGCACAACUGUGGACUGAGACAAAAAGGCUAAGAGAGAUCUAAUUGGUAAAUUCUGUUAUUGUUUUCAGCAAAACAUUCAGAUAAUCGAGCUAAAGCAUGCAGCUGUGCUCACACAAGCACAAUUCUUGAUAAAAACUUUCUGUGUUUUUCUCCAGAAAAUAUUUGCAUUUUUCUCCUCUUCCCCAUAGUAUCAUUAAUUUGAAUUAAAUAAUAUAUCAAACCAGGCGAACAAGUUACUAUUUAUCAUCAUUUUAAUUUUAAAAUGUUUACUCUAAGCCAGCUUCCAUGCUGGAGUGGAUGAUUGGAGCCCAUUUCUCACUCCCCAGGACGAGGCAUGGGUGUACUCAUAAGAGUUCAAUGUAGGACCAUAACAAUGAUUAGGAACUAGAGCACCUCUCUUGCAAGGAGAAGCUGAGAGAGCUGGAACUGAACACCCAAGGGAGGAUCUUGCCAGGAAGUACAAAUACCCAUAGGGAGGGUGCAGGGAGGACAGAGCCAGGCUCCUUUCAAGGGUGGGAUGAGAGGCAGUGGGCACAAAGGGGAGGACAGGAGGUUCCCUCUGACCACCAGGCAACACUUCUGUGCUGUAGGGGUGAUCAAACCCUGGCACAGGCUGCCCAGAGGCUGCGGGGUCUCCUCCUUCUGGAGGUGUUCAGAAGCUGCCUGGAGUGAUGCUGGGCACCCUGCUCUGCGUGUCCCUGCUUCAUCAUGGCUUAGGCCACGUGGACACACAGCUCCCUGCCAGCCUCGACCGUCCUCUGCUUCCAUUAACCUGUUUUCACCAUGGGUAUGAACUGCUGUCACCUGCUGCGUAUGGCCCUUUCUGUUGAUAAAAUACAUCAUAAUGUGAUUUCCCAGCGUGUCCAACUGUGUUGUAUGAUUCAUCCACCAGAAGAAAUAUCAGAAUUAUUGCCAUAUGCACUCUGUCUUUAAUCUUACAAAAAUAAACUCUGAAGCCAUUGAGGGUGUAGCAAAUUGCUCAGUUGCCCAAAAUAGAACAGUGAUGUGGUAUCCCCUUCUUCAUCACGCAACAGUAACUGAACAAUUCUCUGCUAGUAAUUAAUACAGGAAAAAAAAAAAAAGAGCAUAAAAGAAAAGAAAGGCAAAACUUCUGUGGAGGUAAUUAAGAAAAGAUUUUGCAACAUGCAGUUAAACCCCCAAAUCUUAAAUGUCCCAGCCUCAGAGUCAGCUCCAAGAACAACACUGUACUUCAUGAUCUAGCUGCUACAAACAGGACUUUCAGUGGGCUUACCAAAGACCCAAAGACUCUUUUCAUCAAACUCAAGGGAACCGGCAGGGAAAACUGAUUAACUUUUGGACCACUUUCCACUGAAUGAGUUUCUACUGUGAAAUUCAUAAAACAAACAGCCUGAAUGCUUCAGUUCUGUGGCUACCACCAGUUGGGGUUCAUAAGACUACUAUAUAGUUUUUCUCAUGUUUUAAAUGAAGCUGUCAUCCUUUUGCUUCAUCCUCUCUGUAAGAAUGUCACUCAUUCAUUGGGAGUUAUUACUGCAAUACAUGCUGUGUACUUUGUGCAAUAGGCUGUGACAGCAAAAUAAUAUCCAGGACUCUUGGAUCUUGCCCCCCAGAGCUGUGUAUUUUGAUAGGAAGAUGCUCCUGCUGCACUGGAAGAAAAAUUUGUCUUACGAUGGUCUAUAGGUUGCUGUUUGACUUUCUUUUCCAGGGUUAGGCAUUCUGGUUAUUUCGGUGUCAUAACAGAAGCAAGUCUAGAGGUGAAGGACAGAAUCAAAAUCAGUAUGGAUAUUAACAUUACAGGUCGUACGGUAUAUCGAUUUUCUAUCUGAAGUCUAUGCCCAUACUUCCUCCAUGUAGGAUCAAGGCCUGUUUUUUUAACUGGCUUGGUUUCAUCAUUUGGAGGAUGCCCCAUGGGCUGUGUUAAUGAUAUUCAUAAGAGGCUCUGGAGAAAAACACUGUAAGGGAGAAGCCAAGUGCCACUAUUUCUUUCCACCUUGUUCUUAAUGUUUAUUCUUGGCCAAAUCCCCCCUGAAAUGUUAAUGGAAUAAAAUCUGAGUAAAACUUCAGUGAUGUCUUUGGUACCUCACCUUUCUAUUUAUUUUCUGAUAGCACAUAAUUGUUGGCUGGACAAGAACAGGUUCCUGUUACAUUACCAAUUACCUGGCGAAAUUAUCCUAUGUACGUGACAGCUGAAGCCCUGAAGGGCAUAGCACUUCUGCAAACCCUUUUUUGGAAGACGUACUCAAAAAUGAGUGUUCUGGGCUGCAUGUUAAAUGCUGUUUGAGGACUGCUUGACUGUACGUACGCUUACAAGUUUGGACUAUAUAAAUGUGUGCAGAGAUGUUUCGAAACGAGCCAGAUCUGCUUAUUAUUCCAGCUUAAUUGCCGGGCGGGCAGACUGCCCUACUCUCUUGUAACUUUUUAUUGCAAGGAAGCUGUCUAAUCUGGCUCUUCCUCCACCAACAGAGCUUUUGUGAACUGUUCACAUUCUGCUUUGAGAACAGAAUUAAGAUCACUGGGAGUCAGCUGCCCUCUAGCAAACCUGCCAACACUAACAAUUCCAUAAUUCCAAAUACUGAGCCUGUCACAAUUCUCAGGCUACAAACACUUUCGGCAUUUAAUGCUCCAAAGCCUCAGGGCACUAUUAUGUUUUGCCAGAUCUUUGGUCUAAGCAGUUACAGUUUUUCUUAAUUCUCUAAUCCCUCUGGGUUCUCACGUUGUUAAUCUUUCUUUGAUGAUGGAGAAAUUCUUAUUAAUGACACAAAGUAAAACAAUUAUCAGUCCAGUUUCAAAGGAAAGAAAGAAUCUGUUAGCAGUAGAAGAUCCAGCAAGUUUUCCAUCUAACAUUCAAUCAUCAUUCCUUUUUUUUUUUUUCCUUUUUAGUGAUUGGAACACGUUGCAACUGUGGUGAUCUCUUUCAAAGAAGUAUCUGGGCUUCCUCUACGGCUGGAUCCCCUGAAACAGUACUCUCAAGUGUUUAUUUUGAUCUUCAUACCCUGAACCGAUCAUAACUUUUUUUGGCUGCUGCUGCUUGGCCUCUCUCUUUGGCAUCGUUUUGAUCUUAAUAUAAUAUUAGGUCUCUUGGCAACCCGGAUUGAGAUCUAUUACACACACAGCCAUUGUGCCUUUCUUUCUUUCUCUUUCUCUCGCACAUCUGUUCACAAAUACAGGCAGUCAAGGGUAUCUUGUAUAUAAUAUCACACAAAAAAAGGCAAGUGGAAGUGCACUGAUAGUUAAUACUCAUCUCUCUUGGCAAGUGCGUGAGUUAAUUCACUGUAAUUCAAUUAAUGGAUGCAACUUCUACCACCUAGACCAUUUUUCAUUAGAAGGAAUAAGUCCUUACAAAGAUGCGUAAGAACCAGCAUCUCCGUUGCACGCAGGAAAGUUGGCCUGUUACACUGGUAGCUGAUCUGGGCACAGAAACCAAGAUCUCAGCAUUAUAGGCCCAUGGCAAAAGAAGCAUCGUUGCUGAAGUCCCUUGGCUUUUCAGCCAUCCUGUCUCAAUCUAUUUAUACGGCACGGUUUGGUGGUCAGUGUUCAGGAUAUAAGCAGGAUUAGUUCCUGUUUCUUUUAAUCUCUGCCUGUCUCAGCGCAAAUCUUGCCUGUUAGUUUGCAAAAUGCUCAGUUCCACGCCAACUUACUUGCAUAGCACUGUCAAUUGGGUGUUCAUUUGCCCAGAUGAACAUUAAUGCUGCACACCCGGGUGGGCCUGGUUGGGUGUUCAGGUGUUUGGCCACCCCAUUUCUCAGCACAGUGUCUGUUAGCUCUGGUUCGUCGCUCAGCUCUUCCUGAAAGGUGAAUCUAAGACAUGUAAAGCUCAAUCACUCAUCUUCAGUUCCAGGAAAGAACUGCUUCUGAGUCUGCAUUCUUUACUGGUGCUUGAGGGAUUCCUGUCUCAUAAAUCCAGUAUCCGGAAUAACUUGAGAUUGCCUGGGAUACCGCAAUAAGUAACGUGACUUUCCUCAAAAAGAAAGUGAAAUUUUUCACAAGGUGAGAAAAAAGAAGCUUUGAUUCCAUUCUUCCCUGGUGCUUCCCAGAGGCUUUUGGGGAAUAUAUGAAAUAUUACCGGUGUGUUUAAUCCAGAUAUAUUUUAGAUGCGUGCAUCCGUCAAGACCUCAAGGUAUCAAAUAGCGGUGCUUCUAUUUCAAUUGGCAUUAUGUGGGAAGUUGUUGAAAAUAUGGCCCUUUGGUGACUGCAACUGUGAUGUAAUGGAAAGGUCUUUGUUUUGAUAUCUCUUAGGUUUUCUGUGUUCCAUCUGUUCUUUUUGAGGGCCUUCAAUACAGACAGUUGUGAAAACCUAACCUGUGGCUGCUGUUCUUUUCUUUGAAUCACACCUUAUCACAGACAAUAAAGAUUAAAGAAUCUGAGGUUAGCCAAUCAAUCUGCUUAUCUUAUAUAAAUGGAAAGGUAUCUAGCUCGUUCUCCCACAGCUGUGUUUAUUCUGCACAGCUACCAGGAAUUAAAAGUGGCUGAAAAGAAAUGUAUUCUAAUUGUAGAAAAACAGAAGAAGGGAAAGCAGCAAUGACUCAGUGCACACCGGCAGUAAGGCCUGUUAGCUGGUGCCAUUCUUACACAGUCACUCUUGCUGACCUCAGCCACUUUGAAUUUCAACAGCCAGUUGUACCAGUUGUGAUGCAAAAG
ensembl:lncRNA